UUUUGUUGUUGUUGUUGUUUUUAACUGUAUUGUUUAGCAAUACAGUUUAGACAGAGGACAUAGAAUUUUUUUUACAGGAAACAUGUAUAACUCAUAUUUAGAUUUCAUGUUUGCCCUCUUACCCAACACUUGGACAAUAAAUUUUAGAAUAAAAAAAAUAAUAAAGCACAAUGUCAACAAAGCCAGACGAGUGAUGAUAUCUUUACUUUGUACCACAGCCAUAAAAUGUCGGAGUGCGGUUUUGUCUCUUGUUUUGUCUUCUUUAUGAUGCUGCUAUAGCUCUGUUUUCUCCUUCAGAUUUUGAUGCAAUCACUAUCAAAUAAACAUCUUGUAUGCUGUGA